UACUUUGUAGAACAAGGUAUGAGUACUUUUGUAGAAUGGGGUGGUAGUGACGAAAAAUAACAAUAUAGGACUCUUGAGACCCCGCAAUUGGAAUGAGUACACUCUAAAUCCUUUAACGAGGAUCAAUUAGAGGGCAACAGCCAUGAUAAUUCCAGGCCAAUAGCAUAUAUUAAACGUCGUUGUGGUUAAAAAGCUCGUAGUGUGAUCUUAGUUCCAGACAGGUGGUUCGCCUACCAGUGGUUACUGCCUGUCCUGAACACCCAGUCGGUUUCCUUUGAUGAUCCUCACCAGUUGUCUAGGGUGACCGGCAAGUUUACUUUGAAAAAAUUAGAGGCGUGAUACAGGAAUAAUGUAAUAGACCUCAAUUCUAUUUUGUUAGUUUUUGGAAUAUGAGGUAAUAUGAGGUACGGAGGUAAUGAUUAAAAGGGGCAGACGGAGGAAUUCAUAUUGCGACGCUAGAGUGAAAUCCUUGGAGCGUCGCAAGACGAACUACUACAAAAGCAUUUGCAAGAAUGUUUCCAUUAAUGAAGAAUGGAAGUUAGAGGUUCAAAGGCGAUCAGAUGCCCUAGUUCUAACCAUAAAUGUAUGGUUCCUUGGACCGUACCUCUUACUACUUGGAUAACUGUGGCAAUUCUAGACCUAAUACAUGCAGCAGAGCUCUGACCCUCUGGGGAUGAGCAUUUUUAUUAAACCAAAACCAAUCAGAUCUCGUGUCCAUAUUAUGUGGUGACUCAAAGCUGAGACUUAAUGGAAUUGAUGGAAGGGCACCACCAGGAAUAGAGCCUGUGGCUUAAUUUGACUCAACACAGGAAAACUUAUCCCGCCUGGACACAGGAAGGAUUGACAGAUUGAGCUCUUUCUUGAUUCUGUGGGUGGUGGUGCAUGGCCAUUCUUAGUUGGUGGAGCAAUUUGUCUGGUUAAUUCUGAUAACAAAUGAGACUAGUCUACUAAAUAGAUGCUUUGAUCCUUCGAGUCGGACAUUCUGCUCAGAGGGACAAGCAGCGUUUAGUCACAUGAGACAGACCAAUAACAGGUCUGUGAUGCCCUUAGAUGUCCGGGUCACACGUGCGCUAUGUUGAAGAAAUCAGUGUGUCCUUUCUCUGUUCAACAGGACUGGGUACUCCAUUGAAUCUCCUUCAUGCUGGGGAUGGGAGCUUGUAAUUGUUUCUCUUGAACGAGGAAUUCUCAGUAAGCAUGAGUCUUUUGUUUUGUGUCAUUCUGGAAAUAAAUCAUUU
rnacentral:ncRNA from 1 species